CGGCCCGCCGUCUCGGGAAUUACUUCCGGGUCAUCUAGCCAUGCGCACACUAUCACCGAUUAGAAAAUGAGGUCUCCGAUUCAGGCCAAUCAUAAAAUAGGGGGCGGAGUCUUGGGUCUAGGGGCGGGACCACUCUUGACUGAUCAGAUUAGGGGCAGGGCCAAGAGAACCUCUAUCUAGGGCGGGGCCCAGAGGAAAGAAGAGAGCGUAGGACGCCCACUUGUGUUUGUUUAACGGAUGGGCGUCACAGGCUUUGGGAACUGUCAGUGGAGGCACCUGCGCUUGGUGAGGGCGUGAGCACGUGUUGCGGGCAGGAACCUUGCCUAAAGAGCGGAGUCUGCGACGGGGAAGUCUGUACUCGAUGGUCUUGCUAAGUUAUCCAGGCUAGCCUUGAACUUGGGACCUUCCUGCCUCAGCCUCCAGAGUGGCUGGGAUUAUAGUGGUGUUCCAGCUGUACAGGAGGGAUGGUAAUGUGCCAGGGUCACAGAGAGAAGAGCUGCCACAUGUGUGCAUGAAGCAUGGUGAACUCUGUUUAGCAGAAUGAUGGAGAAGUUCAUCCCCAGAAACCUAAUUCAAGCAAAUGUGUUUGACUGACCUCACCAAGGACCUCAGUUGUGAAGGUCCCUCAGAUCCUAUAUGGAAGGAAGAAGAGAAUUUAACAUUUGUGUACCAGCACAUUAUGUGUAAUAUCUGAUUCAGUGCUCAUAAUUAAAAUGCCAUCCUCUUGAGGCUCCUCAAGAUGAGUGGGAGGGCUGGGUCUGUAGCUCAGUGGUAGAGCACUUGCCUCACACAUGUGAGGCACUGGGUUCGAUCCUCAAUACCACAUAAAAAUAAAUAAAUAAAGAUAUUGUGUUCAUGUACAACUAAAAAAUAUUUUAAAAAAAAGAUGAGUGGGAAAUGUGUUUUCAUCUAUAUAAAGCUGGAUUUGAUCCCAGGUCUGCUUGCCUUCAAGCCCCUUCAACUUUGCUCAUAUCUUGUGAUUUGGCAUUUGGCUCAAAAGACAUGAAAUCUUGAUGGGGAAAGUUUAGGAAACUCAGCCUGGACCAGGUCACAAGUAUCAGCUUUUUGAGCCACAAGACAAUGAAGUACCAAGAACAAAUACAUCAUCCAAAACCCAAACUCUUUAUUUCCGAAGCUGAACUCAAGAGAUCUGUAUCAGAUCCAAGGAGGUUUAUGUGAUUAUAUUGAUGUUAAGAGAAUGGCCACUAGAGCUUACUUGAAGCAGUGUAGAGUGCGUGAGAACACAGUGCCUGAAGGAUCCUACUCCUGAAUGCUAAAUGACCAGUGACUUUGAGCAAAUCAUUUAACCCUUCUGGGCUUCAGUGUUCAAAGUAAGGUAAGCCUAGAAGGACUAAGGUCUUCUGUUUAAAAGAAUGAGGGAUUGGGCUGGGGAUGUGGCUCAGUGGUGGAGCACUUGCUUAAUAUGCACAAGGCUCUGGGUUCAAUCCCCAUCACCGUACUUACACACCAAAGAGUGAAAUAAAAGAAGUAGGGAGGAUCCAGGUAUGGUGGCACACACCUAUAAUCCCAGCAACUGUAGAAGCUGUGACAGGAAGAGCACCAGUUCAAGACCAACCUAGGGAAUUUGGUGAAACCCUGUCUCAAAAUAAAAUUUUAAAAAGGGCAAGGCACAAUGACCCAUGCCUGUAAUCCCAGUGAUUUGGGAGACUGAGAUAGGAGGUUCAUAGAUUUGAAGCCAGCCUCAGCAAUUUAGCGAGACUCUAAGCAACUUAGUAAGACCCUGUCUCAAAAUAAAACCUAAAAAUGGUAGUGAAUGUGACUUAAUGAUAGAUCACCCCUGGGUUUAAUCCUUAUGUUUCUGCCCCUCCCCUUCAAAAGUAAAGCUACUAUAAAUAUGUGUAGAGUUUUGUGUUACUAUACGUUUUUAACUCCUUUGAGUAAAAAGGAAUACAGUUGAUAGAUUUAUGGUCAGAGUAUGUUUGGUUAAGAAAUUGCCAAUUGCCGGUAUUGGUGGUGCACAUCUCUAAUCCCAGCAAUUUGGGAGGCUGAGGCAGGAGGAUCACAGUUUCAAAACCAUCCUCUGCAAAAAGCAAGGCAAUAAGUAAUCAGUGAGACCCUGUCUCUAAUAAAAUACAAAAUAGAGUUGGGGAUGUGGCUUAGUGGUUGAGUGUCCCUUAGUUCAAUCCCUGGAACCCCUCCAAAAGAGAAAUCACCAAUUGUGUCAGGCACGGUAGUGCUCACCUGUAGUCCUAGUUCAAAGCCAGCCUCAGCAACUUAGCAAGGCCCUGUCUCUAAAUAAAAUAUUUAAAAGAAUUGGGAUAUGGUUUUAAUGGUUAAGCACACCUGGGUUCAAUCCUUGGUACAAAAAAAAAAAAUUCCCACCAACGAAUGACAGUUCCUGUUGCUCUGUGUUCUCUGCAGCAUUUUGUAUUGUCAGUGGUCAUUUUGGCUA